GCAUAGUGAUGACAACAAACUCAGCUCACUCGGAGUCUGAUGACGAUAACAUGUUCCAACCAUUUUCUGAAUGC
rnacentral:snoRNA from 1 species